UUGGUAAUAAAAUAAUAUUGACAAAGCCAAAUUUGGAACCAAACAGUUAUAGAGUGAGAACCUUUUUACUCGAAAACUAAAAAUAAAAUAUAAGAUAGAACCUUUUUACAAAAAAAAAUAAAUGAAAUUAUUGUACUACAAAACACUUUUUUUACAACAAUGAUACCAACCUAAUUGAGAUUAUAAUGUAUGUUGCAUAUUAUACAGCAUACUUAGAUCAGUCUCCUUGGCACCUAUAAAUAGUGUUAUUGACUUUGGACCAACAUAACUUUUAUUUAUUCGAUUUUUCUCCAUGCGCCUUCCUUUUAUAAAAAUGUUUAUCUCCUUCACUUUUUUGUAAAGGGGUAUUGUAAAUGCAGGUACUGAGGAAACUGCCUUCCAAGCACC